rnacentral:rRNA from 1 species
GACGAACGCUGGCGGCGUGCUUAACACAUGCAAGUCGAACGGAAAGGCCCUGCUUUUGUGGGGUGCUCGAGUGGCGAACGGGUGAGUACCACGUGAGUAACCUGCCCUUGACUUUGGGAUAACUUCAGGAAACUGGGGCUAAUACCGGAUAGGAGCUCCUGCUGCAUGGUGGGGGUUGGAAAGUUUCGGCGGUUGGGGAUGGACUCGCGGCUUAUCAGCUUGUUGGUGGGGUAGUGGCUUACCAAGGCUUUGACGGGUAGCCGGCCUGAGAGGGUGACCGGCCACAUUGGGACUGAGAUACGGCCCAGACUCCUACGGGAGGCAGCAGUGGGGAAUAUUGCACAAUGGGCGGAAGCCUGAUGCAGCAACGCCGCGUGCGGGAUGACGGCCUUCGGGUUGUAAACCGCUUUCGCCUGUGACGAAGCGUGAGUGACGGUAAUGGGUAAAGAAGCACCGGCUAACUACGUGCCAGCAGCCGCGGUGAUACGUAGGGUGCGAGCGUUGUCCGGAUUUAUUGGGCGUAAAGGGCUCGUAGGUGGUUGAUCGCGUCGGAAGUGUAAUCUUGGGGCUUAACCCUGAGCGUGCUUUCGAUACGGGUUGACUUGAGGAAGGUAGGGGAGAAUGGAAUUCCUGGUGGAGCGGUGGAAUGCGCAGAUAUCAGGAGGAACACCAGUGGCGAAGGCGGUUCUCUGGGCCUUUCCUGACGCUGAGGAGCGAAAGCGUGGGGAGCGAACAGGCUUAGAUACCCUGGUAGUCCACGCUGUAAACGGUGGGUACUAGGUGUGGGGUCCAUUCCACGGGUUCCGUGCCGUAGCUAACGCUUUAAGUACCCCGCCUGGGGAGUACGGCCGCAAGGCUAAAACUCAAAGGAAUUGACGGGGCCCCGCACAAGCGGCGGAGCAUGCGGAUUAAUUCGAUGCAACGCGUAGAACCUUACCUGGGUUUGACAUGGAUCGGGAGUGCUCAGAGAUGGGUGUGCCUCUUUUGGGGUCGGUUCACAGGUGGUGCAUGGCUGUCGUCAGCUCGUGUCGUGAGAUGUUGGGUUAAGUCCCGCAACGAGCGCAACCCUUGUUCACUGUUGCCAGCACGUUAUGGUGGGGACUCAGUGGAGACCGCCGGGGUCAACUCGGAGGAAGGUGGGGAUGACGUCAAGUCAUCAUGCCCCUUAUGUCCAGGGCUUCACGCAUGCUACAAUGGCUGGUACAGAGAGUGGCGAGCCUGUGAGGGUGAGCGAAUCUCGGAAAGCCGGUCUCAGUUCGGAUUGGGGUCUGCAACUCGACCUCAUGAAGUCGGAGUCGCUAGUAAUCGCAGAUCAGCAACGCUGCGGUGAAUACGUUCCCGGGGCUUGUACACACCGCCCGUCAAGUCAUGAAAGUUGGUAACACCCGAAGCCGGUGGCCUAACCGUUGUGGGGGAGCCGUCGAAGGUGGGACUGGUGAUUAGGACUAAGUCGUAACAAGGUAGCCGUACCGGAAGG